rnacentral:lncRNA from 1 species
CCAUGAAUCCAGGCAGUGACGCAGAGCACAGACCUGCGAGCGUGCCCAAGCUGGCCUGGGGGAAGGAGGAGAAAGAAGGCCCUGGAGCUGCCCCAGCACAGCAGCCUGAAGAGGUGGAGCAGUUCCAGCCACUGCAGAAGGGUGCAGCCGUGCAGCACACACGAGAGCAGGAACGCACCCGUGGCCGCUUCCGCAGAACAGCGCAGAUGGUUUGCAAAUUCAUGAAGAGGAUUCAGGAGGAAGAGAGCAGCGUCGUGGGCACUGUGGUCAGAGCGUACUCUCCCAUCUUCAAAACCAAGACCAGUGCUGCCCUGCUGGAUAUGCUUGUGGAGGAGGGUCCUUCCAGCCCAAAGCAAGUGAGCAGCCUGUGGCCUGGCUUUUCUCCUCCCAGCAGUUGCGUGGCCUCCCAAGCCACGCCUGCUGCUCCCUGGAAGCCUUUGAGGCCAUGGCAGUGUGGUGGCAAGGGAAGCACUUCUCUGGGGCAGCUGGGCACAUUCCUUCCUCUGGCAGCUUUCCAAGUCUCCCCUGCCUUCUCCAGGUGCCCACCAUGGUGAGGUACAUCCACCAGUGGCUGGUGGCCAAUGAGUUUCCUGAGUACAAUCUGUACAGGCCCCUUCUGGAUCUGACAGAGGCACAGCCCUCUGACGUGGUGAUGGCUCUCCUGCGUGUGGCCCCAGUGUGUGACAGGUACGGGGCCCACGUGUCCACAAGGCUCAGCAGCCCUUCACCCUGUACAGCCUGUCCCAGGUGUCUGACCAACAGAGAAUUCCAGGGCCCUCUGGCUGCUCCCUUUGC